GCAGAUCUUCCAGGGUGACCACGUCCCUCUGGCCAAGGGUGCCGGUCUGGUCUGGAAGGCAUUUAGUCCAAGAAGAGCUGCGAGAAUGGAAACUGAGCCUCCCUGCCUCCUUUGUGACUGAAGCAACCAAAAGCUGAUGGAGCCUCAUGCCUGAAUGAGGCAGCGCUGCUGGUCACUGGCUGCCCGUGCUUGCCGUGGUGCCUGGUGUCCUUCCACAGCAUGAAAAAAAAGAUUGAUCUGUGAUUCCCUGUAAUAUCUAUAGAGGUGCCUAAGCAGGUGUGUUUGCAAGAUGAAAAUAUGGGGACUGAAACUGCUUCUCUGCUGCUUCUGUCCCCAUUUGUCAGCACAAACCAUCUUCUGCAGAAAAUGCAGCUGUUGGAAAGGAAACCUUUGUAAUGGAAUGGGUCCUGCUUGACCAGAGACUGACAGCUAACCACCCUGAGAUGGCAGGCUGCUAAAUAUUGACAAGCUCCAUGCUCAUCCUCUGCCUAGCUCCAGUAAGGUGCUGCAUACAGUUUCACUCAUAGCAUGGGAAUGAUCUCAGCUGCCUUUGGCCUUCUAAAAUUUUAGAGAGAGCUAAGGGAGGCAGACAAGCACAUCUGGAAGGACCAUCAUCCAAGAUGACUUAAGCACUGCUUUCAGGGUAACCUGAAUUAUCUCCUGAUACCUGGGUUUUUAGGAAAAAUGGAUCCCAUCUGAAGACUCAGAAAACCUAACUGCGGGGUAUAAUUUUACCCAUCUUCAUUUUCGUGGUUUCUUGGAAACCUGGCUUUUAUUUAGAAAGACUUUAUGUAGAUAUUUGUCUUUCUUUUCCACUCUGUCCCUGUUAGACUCUUCAUCAUACUAGCAGUGGUAUUGGUAGUCAAUAGGUCAAGAACACUGAUCUCAGUGAUGCUAAUGUACAUGGACUCACACCAGCUCUGCUGCUGUCCCAUGUUUUACUGAAUGUCUGCCAUGACUCAGUCUGUGAAUAUAGCUUAAGCAGAUGGAUAUUCCUGUUUGCUUUACUCUUGUGCAUAUAGGUUGCGGGAUCACGCCUCCUAUCUACAGAGCUCUAUUACAAGGUGUUUGAUAUUGAUGUAUCAGAGGUACCAGGUGGUGUGUGCUUUGCAGGACUCUGGAUAACACCCUACCCGGGUUUGUCCUGCCCUACCAAGUUGCACCAGCCUCACUAGUGUCCCUGUGGGCUGCCAGACACAGCCUGAGUCAUGCUGACAGCACACUGAAGUGCUGCCAAGGGAUGUUAAACCCAUUUGCUGGGUGAAAUGUGCCUCCUACUAGCCCCAAGCGUGGCUGUUUGCUGAAGCACCCAUGCUUAUCUUCCUUCAGCAAGUAUCCUACAGUCCCUGUGCCCCACAUUUUUGUUCAUACUUGAACCCUCCUGCCCAGAAGCUGUGAUGCCUGGAAGUGUACCCAAUCCUCACAAAGCCUCCUGCUCUUUGCAGAUGGUGGCUGGCUCACCUUUGCAUGCACUCAGGAACAAAACAAUGUUUCAGUGACACUAUCACUUUACAGGAAGACCAAGCAGAGCCAUCAGAAUUGGCUGGAAGAAGGUGAUACAAACCAUCAGAGCGCCAAGACCUCGCUGGUACUCUGAUGAACAGAAUGACAAAUUACCUUCUCAGGCAGGGUCAGGGUUCACUGAAACCAUUAAUUUUCAUGUGUUUCUCAGAGCCUCCAAAAAGUCACCUUCUUUCCCCACUUGGAUAGCAGAUGAGAGUGCAUUGGCAGGGACAAAAGGAAUUCUGCUGUUGAAAUAACACUAAUUUUAAGAGCAUGACCUGGGACCACAAUGCAGG